GAUCAUUACCGAGUUUACAACUCCCAAACCCCUGUGAACAUACCACUUGUUGCCUCGGCGGAUCAGCCCGCUCCCGGUAAAACGGGACGGCCCGCCAGAGGACCCCUAAACUCUGUUUCUAUAUGUAACUUCUGAGUAAAACCAUAAAUAAAUCAAAACUUUCAACAACGGAUCUCUUGGUUCUGGCAUCGAUGAAGAACGCAGCAAAAUGCGAUAAGUAAUGUGAAUUGCAGAAUUCAGUGAAUCAUCGAAUCUUUGAACGCACAUUGCGCCCGCCAGUAUUCUGGCGGGCAUGCCUGUUCGAGCGUCAUUUCAACCCUCAAGCACAGCUUGGUGUUGGGACUCGCGUUAAUUCGCGUUCCCCAAAUUGAUUGGCGGUCACGUCGAGCUUCCAUAGCGUAGUAGUAAAACCCUCGUUACUGGUAAUCGUCGCGGCCACGCCGUUAAACCCCAACUUCUGAAUGUUGACCUCGGAUCAGGUAGGAAUACCCGCUGAACUUAAGC
rnacentral:misc_RNA from 1 species